rnacentral:rRNA from 1 species
UACAGAGGUGGCAAGCGUUGUUCGGAAUUACUGGGCGUAAAGGGCGAGUAGGCGGCCAUCUAAGUCAGACGUGAAAUCCCCCGGCUUAACCUGGGAACUGCGUCUGAUACUGGACGGCUAGAGUAUGGGAGAGGGAUGUAGAAUUCCAGGUGUAGCGGUGAAAUGCGUAGAUAUCAUGAGGAAUACCAGAGGCGAAGGCAGCUACCUGGACAAUUACUGACGCUCAUGCACGAAAGCGUGGGGAGCAAAAAGG